CGGCGUUUUCUAUACAGGUAUUUGAUCAGCCAACGGAAAUGUCAUGCUAUACCUCAGCAGUGGUUCGAGAGACCAAAAGCAAGCAAAAUUUUGUCAAAGAUGGUGUGGUGAACGAAAGAUCACCUAAAAUCAGUGUCAUGUCCUGCCGAUGUGGAAAAUAUUUUCCAUUAAUGUGGAGAGUUUGGGAUACAGAGAGAGUCGAACAAUCCGCUCGAGUUGUUGUUUUCGCUGAAGUGACGACGACCAGGCUAGUGAGGCGGUGGAGGCUGAACAAGUAUUAAUACGCCAGUGGAUCCUGACGAAGGAGUGCAAUUAUUCAACAAGCAGACCUCAACGACACAAAUAGAGACGUUUUUAUUAUUUGUUCACAAAUACACUGUAGUCUGCGUAGAACUCUUAACCUAAACAUUAUUUAAAUAAACCAGAAUGCUGUUUAUACCUA